rnacentral:rRNA from 1 species
AUUCGUGCUUGAAUUAUACAACCAA